rnacentral:tRNA from 1 species
GAUGGUAUAGCUCAGUGGUAGAGCAUGUGCUUAAGAUGCAUGAGGUCCUGGGUUCAAACCCCCUUAUUUCCA